rnacentral:rRNA from 1 species
UACGUAGGGUGCGAGCGUUAAUCGGAAUUACUGGGCGUAAAGCGUGCGCAGGCGGGCUUUUAAGCCAGACGUGAAAUCCCCGGGCUUAACCUGGGAAUGGCGUUUGGGACUGGGAGUCUGGAGUGCGGCAGAGGAGACUGGAAUUCCUGGUGUAGCAGUGAAAUGCGUAGAUAUCAGGAGGAACACCGAUGGCGAAGGCAGCCCCCUGGGUCAAGAUUGACGCUCAUGCACGAAAGCGUGGGGAGCAAACAGG